UACGUAGGUGGCAAGCGUUGUCCGGAGUUAUUGGGCGUAAAGCGCGCGCAGGCGGUGCGGUAAGUCUAUGGUGAAAGCGCUCGGCUUAACUGGGCGAGGGCCGUGGAGACUGCCGGACUGGAGGGGAGCAGAGGCGAGUGGGAAUUCCGGGUGUAGUGGUGAAAUGCGUAGAGAUCCGGAGGAACACCAGUGGCGAAGGCGGCUCGCUGGGCUCAACCUGACGCUGAGGCGCGAAAGCGUGGGGAGCGAACCGG
rnacentral:rRNA from 1 species